rnacentral:rRNA from 1 species
GAUGAACGUUGGCGGUGUGCCUAAUACAUGCAAGUCGAACGGAGUCAGUAGCAAUAUUGGCUCAGUGGCGAACGGGUGAGUAACGCGUUGGUGAUCUGCCUUGAAGUGUGGAAUAACGUUUCGAAAGAGACGCUAAUACCGCAUGUGCUCUCGAUUUUCAGAAAGUUGAGAGUAAAGGAUUUAUUCGCUUCAAGAGGAGCCUGCGUCCCAUCAGCUGGUUGGUAGGGUAACGGCCUACCAAGGCUAUGACGGGUAGGGGACCUGAGAGGGUGGCCCCCCACAAUGGAACUGAAACACGGUCCAUACACCUACGGGUGGCAGCAGUAGGGAAUAUUAGAAAUGGACGAAAGUCUGAUCUAGCAACACCGCGUGUGCGAAGAAGGCCUUCGGGUCGUAAACUGCUUUUGUACGGAACGAAAAGGUCUUUUCUAAUAAAGAAGGCUCAUGACGGUACCGUAAGAAUAAGCACCGGCUAACUACGUG